UACGAAGGGGGCUAGCGUUGCUCGGAAUUACUGGGCGUAAAGGGCGCGUAGGCGGACAGUUUAGUCAGAGGUGAAAGCCCAGGGCUCAACCUUGGAAUUGCCUUUGAUACUGGCUGUCUUGAGUACGGGAGAGGUGUGUGGAACUCCGAGUGUAGAGGUGAAAUUCGUAGAUAUUCGGAAGAACACCAGUGGCGAAGGCGACUCACUGGACAAAUAUUGACGCUGAGGUGCGAAAGCGUGGGGAGCAAACAGG
rnacentral:rRNA from 1 species